AGUGGAUGGGGAGCAACCUAGUUGUGCGUGUGUAAAGGUAGUGCCAAGAAAAGCGAUGAUCAUGUUGAAAAUCAAUUCCCGGUACCCGAAACCGACACAGGUGGGCAAGUAGAGAAUACUAAGGGGCGCGAGGUAACUCUCUCCAAGGAACUCGGCAAAAUGACCCCGUAACUUAGGGAGAAGGGGUGCCACCGAGAGGUGGUCGCAGUGAAGAGGCCCAGGCGACUGUUUAGCAAAAACAUAGGUCUCUGCAAACUCGAAAGAGGAGGUAUAGGGGCUGACGCCUGCCCAGUGCCGGAAGGUUAAAGAAGUUGGUCAGUCUUAGGAUGAAGCUAGCGACUGAAGCCCCGGUGAACGGCGGCCGUAACUAUAACGGUCCUAAGGUAGCGAAAUUCCUUGUCGGGUAAGUUCCGACCCGCACGAAAGGCGUAACGAUCUGGGCGCUGUCUCGGAGAGAGGCUCGGCGAAAUAGGAUUGUCUGUGAAGAUACGGACUACCUGCAUUUGGACAGAAAGACCCUAUGAAGCUUUACUAUAGCUUGGAAUUGUGUUCGGGCUUCCUGUGCGCAGGAUAGGUGGGAGGCGUAGAAGGUAUUCUUGUGGGGAUACUGGAGCCAACGGUGAGAUACCACUCUCAGGAGGCUAGAAUUCUAACUUAAUUAAGGACAGUUUCAGGUGGGUAGUUUGACUGGGGCGGUCGCCUCCAAAAAGGUAACGGAGGCGUACAAAGGUUCCCUCAGACUGGUUGGAAAUCAGUCGAAGAGUGCAAAGGCAGAAGGGAGCUUGACUGCGAGAAGUACAGUUCGAGCAGGGUGGAAACACGGUCUUAGUGAUCCGACGGUGCUGUGUGGAAGGGCCGUCGCUCAACGGAUAAAAGUUACUCUAGGAUAACAGGCUGAUCUCCCCCAAGAGUUCACAUCGACGGGGAGGUUUGGCACCUCGAUGUCGGCUCAUCGCAACCUGGGGCGGAAGUACGUCCCAAGGGUUGGGCUGUUCGCCCAUUAAAGCGGUACGUGAGCUGGGUUCAGAACGUCGUGAGACAGUUCGGUCCAUAUCCGAUGUAGGCGUGAGAAUAUUGAGAGGAGCCUUCCUUAGUACGAGAGGACCGGGAAGGACGCACCGCUGGUGUACCUGUUAUGAUGCCAAUUGUAAACGCAGGGUAGCCAAGUGCGGAGAGGAUAACCGCUGAAAGCAUCUAAGUGGGAAGCCCACCUCAAGAUGAGUAUUCUGGUGUAAGGUCACGGGAAGACGACCCGUAAAUAGGCACGAGGUGGAAGUGCAGAGAUGUAUGAAGCCGAAGUGUACUAAUAGACCGUCGGCUUGAU
rnacentral:rRNA from 1 species